AUGGGUCCUCCGCGUUCGAUGCGUAUGGUCCAGAAAUGGCAUCAAAAGACUCCGACAGCAGGGCAGAGGGACAUCCAACUCCUUUGACCACGGCGGAACGUGUCGUAGGGAGCUCAAGCGCAGGAACCCCCAAUUACAAUCGAGUGUGGCUGGCUCGAGUGGUGCAGAGCUGUCUCGGUUGCGCCACCAGUAGAGAGUUCAGUUCUCACCCUAGUGCCCAAACAGCCUCUGCAAAACAAACGAGCUCACUGCUAAUAGGGAGCGAUCACGGUUGCAAAAUUAGACCGUAAGACCCCCACUAGCUGCAACAUAAUGUCACCCAUGUAACU
rnacentral:lncRNA from 1 species